UGCAUUUGCGAUUUACUGGAUGCUAUGAACUUUCUGCCGAAACUCCUUGUAUAUUUGUGCUGUCAUGGGUUGAUGAGAUAUGGAGUUUCCAGUCCUAUGCGUACUGUAGCAGUGAUUUUUGCUGAUAGAUACCAAAUUGGUCUCUGACGAACAGGAUUCUUGCUAAAGGUUAAUUUAUCUGAACCUUUUUUCUUUCAAACACUUCUGUUUUAUCUUUUCAUACUGGGGGAGGAUAGGGAGGAUUACCAAAUUAGAUUGAAUAUCCAGCAGAAUGAUGUUCUUUAGGUUUUGAGUACAAUUUUCUUCCUCUUUUAAACGUCAACCCGAAGUUCCUGUCAACUGAAUUGUCUUCUACCAUUUUCAAUCACAUGAAACUCCAAAGGUGGCUGUCAAAAUAGCAUAGAGGUAAAAUAACUUGAAUACAGGAAUACAUUUUUGUUUAGGGUUUUCAAGGCCUCUCUCGAAAUCGCAGAAAUUAUUCUGAUCCUUUUUUCUGUUGACGUUGCUGAUAAGAGAAAUAAGGUUAUGCAAGGUUAUAUGUGGGCAUCUUGGAUUAUGUACUAAAUACUUUUAUUCUUGUUGACAGUCUGCAGGUUGAGCUUACUUUUGACAUUAUUGGUAGCUAUAGAGAUUUAAUGCACUUGCUCUUUUAGUUACGGUUUGCAUUUGUGUUAUUUUGAGAUCUAUUUGUCUUAUUGGGAGAGAGUGCAUUAAGGUUAUAUUCAAUCCGGUGCUUACAUGAUAAUUUACAUGUAUUGAUCUAUGGACGAAGUAGUAGGAGAAGAGGUCUAGGCACCAAGUGCACAGUGUUUUUGUUAAUAAAGUCUUCAUUUGGUCUAGGAAAGUUCCUUGUAAACUGAUACUCACGGCUAGCUGCCUGAAAUAUCAUCAGUGCCUUUGUUAUAUGUAACCCGAAAUGAACAAAGGGGAAAGCUUCCAUGUUUGCCGGUAGCCCAAUUUUAUUUGAUUAUCUCCCUUUCAUGGUUUCUUCUGGCUGGUUAUGCAAUCUCGGUCUAUGCAAGGUUUUCUUAUUAGAGAAGUCAAAACAUGCUUCUGACCUAUUAUGAAAGUUAUUCAGGAUAACGGGAAUGAUAUUAUUCUACAUGAAUAUAUUUUGUCUUUGUUUAAUUACUUCCUUGGUAAGCACCACCUCUCUGUUAUGUGUGAUCAGUAUUAAGUGAGGGCAUUUAAAGAGUUAAAACACUGUACCAUACAUGGUUUAAUUUGCUAGACACCUUCUCUGCAGAGCAAAUUUGGCAUGUCACACUGAAACCUUUUUUGAACAAAAAUUCAAUUCCUUCCCAUCUUUUUGCGGGGUCUAACUUGACUAAGGUUAAGGUACAAUGAGUUGCUAAUCAUGAUUAGUUCUUGCUGUGAAUUUACUAGCUUUAUUAUUGUUUAAUUUCAGGUUGCAGACUUAAGUUCACCAGUAGAAAGACAACAUUCAUCAUCUGCUAGUCACGAACCGCAAGGUUGAGGCACUUCAGCUGCUGCCUGGUUCUCUGUUCAGGAACAAGUGAAUUGAUGCCUUAGUACUUUUAGCAGUAUUAGAAUUACACUAUGUGUAAUGAUAUCUGAUAAUGAAUUUAUGUCAACAUAAUUAGCCUAAGCAACAAAUUUGUGGUAAAUUUUAAAGGUUGUGAAAAAGAGGCUUUUGCUCUUUUUAUGAAAAUUGAUAGUAGAAGGAAGAAUAGCAG
rnacentral:lncRNA from 1 species